AAGAUGCGCAGACUCCCUUUGUAGAGAUCUGGAGCAGAGAAGAACCAGGAGAUCUUGGUUAGAGGACCUGCGUGGUCUUGUGGGGAUGUAAGGCAUCAGUAAUUCUGUAAUAUAUGGCAGAGCCAGACUGUGAAGUGCUUUGAAGGCAGCAUCCACUUCUUUGGAGCAUAAAGAAGAAUACAUGCACAAAAUCGUUAUCAGGGUCUAAGUAGUGCCCUUAAUUAAGUUCCCAAUUGACUUUCAUUAAUGUAUUGUCGAGCUCACGCACAUACACCGCCGGAGACAUUCUAAAGCUCCGUUUUGCCCUCUCUAUUGUUAGGUUUCAAUUGCUAGACUAAGAGAAUUCAUUUAUCAGGCUAUUUGGUGUAGUGUAUGAAGUUUAUGUUGGGAAUUUUUCUGUUAAAAAUACAGCUCUGAUAAAUCAUCGAAAUACAGUUUGAAACAGUAAACUAAACGUCAAAUGUUCCACUUCUAUCGACUCCUCUGAUUGGACAGUGACGUAACCCGCGCUUGCUCGGGCGUUUUCAGUUAGGGUGAUUGUUGCUUUUCCCCGCCGUAUGAAACAAGUGAGUGUGAUCAAUUAGAAGUAGCCUACCGGAUUUCUAAAGUUUUACCUCGCAAAGUCGUUAUCAAGAAUCAAAAGAUAGGCUACAGUGACUUGCAAGAAAGACGGGAUUGCUGAGGUAAUGCAUCCCUACUUGAUUGACAAACCGAGAAAAAGAGAACAAAUUGGCGCGAACUCAGUUAAGUAAGUCAACGAGGAAACCACUGUUCAGCAUGGAGACCUGCUUAUGCUUCGACGGAACUAAAGAGAGCUUCAGCACACAAGCGGGGUUUCAGUUUUUUUGGAGGCCAUUGACAAAGAAGAGAGCAGGAGAAGAGCGGCGUUUUGUCAAUCCUGGGUUCAAAGACUUCUGCCUCACCGAAUGACCUGAUUACACGCGGCCGCAGCUCAGCCCCGAGACCUCAGGAACGGCGGCCCUGGGCCUCCUCCGGAAGAUAAGUGAUGUCUUAAUGCCGUUCCGCUCGCUGCGCCGCCGAAGCAAGCCCUGCCAGAUGUUUCCACCUGCGUAGUGCAUCACUGCGAGCGCAGACGCGUUCGGCCCAGCGCGUAGCGGCUGAACGUGAUCUUCGUUUUCUUCUGCGGAGCAUCUAGGCGCCAUUUUAUUUCUUACAAAUUGUGUGCAUUGUCUGCGUAUUCCUCCAGUGGCUGUAUGCUGUGCUGUGCUGUAUAUUCUCAUGCCGCCAUCAAUAAUUAAAAGGCCGACUAUAUUGCCACUGUUGCAUACAGUAUACGUAAUGACUGUAAUCAUGGCUGAUGUAAUAAUCAUUCCUACACAAAUAAUCAAAACAAAUGGAUCUACUUAAUUACCUCUGGCAUUAAAAAUGUCAGUCUCUCCUAAGAAGUGCAAAUUAACGCAAUUAAAUUAAUUAAUGUUGUUGGUAAGAGCACAUGUUGAAUUGUUCAA